rnacentral:rRNA from 1 species
AAACCGCUUAGGGGUUAAGCCCGAUGAACCUGAAUAUCUGAUGUGAGAAAUUCAAUACUGUUUGAAUUAUUUCUAUAGUUUAUAUAGUAUGCACUUUUCUCAUAGUAAGACAUUGUAAUCCAUUGAUGCUAUAUCUCUUUAUUGGGAUGAUUUAACAUACGGACAAAAUGUUUAUGAUUAUUCUAUCAGUGAUGUGAUUACAUGUCAUAUGAAUAAAAUCGUUUUGUACCUGUUUAAAUAGUCGAUGGAUUUUAUCUAAAUCAUGCUUGCAAUUUAUUUUGCGUUUCGUACUAUUGAUUUUUAAUCGGUAGUAGCAGAAAUGGCAUGUAUUUGAUUAACAAUGCGAUAGAUUUGGGAUGCCUUCGGGACCCGUCUUGAAACACGGACCAAGGAGUCUAACAUAUGUGCAAGUCAUUGAGUAUUUUGUUGAAACCUAAUGGCGUAAUUAAAAUGACUAUAUUUUUAAUUUGGGAUCACAAGUAAUGUUCAAAUUUAUGCAUUACUUUUCCAUCCCGGGGCGUUCUAUACGAACAUGAUGUAAGCAAUUAUGUCCUCUGUUCAAGAGCGUACCUUGAGCACAUAUGCUGU